rnacentral:rRNA from 1 species
UAUAAAUACUACAAUGUGGCCUGUUACAUUGUUUGUCGAAUGGCGCUUGCAUUCAUUUGCAAUCCCCAUUCUAGAAAAGAAGCAUAUUGCAACAUGUACGUUAGCUAUGCCUUAAUAACAGAAGCUAUGCGUUGUUACUGCUGGAUCGUUUAAUGCCUGUUAACGUUCCAGCGGGGCCUGAUGACAGCGCUUCGUUAUCUGAUUUGGCUAUGGCUAACUACACAGAAUGACAUAUAUUCGUUGUCACUGUUGACUUGUUUACCGCCUACUAACAUUUCAGCAGUGCCUGUAUGACAACGCUCUAUAUCGUCAUUUGCAAUGCAACCUGAGCUCAGGCGUGACUACCCGCUGAACUUAAGCAUAUCAUUU